CAGCCCUAAACGGUGCGCGUUAGGUGUAUCGGUGACCACGAGUCACCGAGGUGCCGAAGGGAAACCGUGAAACGUGCCGCCUGGGAAGUACGGUCGCAAGGCUGAAACUUAAAGGAAUUGGCGGGGGAGCACAACGACGGGUGGAGCUUGCGGUUUAAUUGGAUUCAACGCCGGAAAUCUUACCGGGACCGACAGCAACAUGAAGGCCAAGCUGAAGACUUUGCCGGAUUAGCUGAGAGGAGGUGCAUGGCGUAGUCGUGU
rnacentral:rRNA from 1 species